rnacentral:rRNA from 1 species
AGUGAACGCUGGCGGUAGGCCUAACACAUGCAAGUCGAACGGCAGCACAGUAAGAGCUUGCUCUUACGGGUGGCGAGUGGCGGACAGGUGAGGAAUACAUCGGAAUCUACUUUUUCGUGGGGGAUAACGUAGGGAAACUUACGCUAAUACCGCAUACGACCUACGGGUGAAAGCAGGGGAUCUUCGGACCUUGCGCGAUUGAAUGAGCCGAUGUCGGAUUAGCUAGUUGGCGGGGUAAAGGCCCACCAAGGCGACGAUCCGUAGCUGGUCUGAGAGGAUGAUCAGCCACACUGGAACUGAGACACGGUCCAGACUCCUACGGGAGGCAGUAGUGGGGAAUAUUGGACAAUGGGCGCAAGCCUGAUCCAGCCAUACCGCGUGGGUGAAGAAGGCCUUCGGGUUGUAAAGCCCUUUUGUUGGGAAAGAAAAGCAGCAGGUUAAUACCCCGCUGUUCUGACGGUACCCAAAGAAUAAGCACCGGCUAACUUCGUG